rnacentral:misc_RNA from 1 species
CAAAAAGGGAGCAGCUUACAGAGCAAAGACAAGUAUGCAAAGAGUGUGUCCCAGAAAAGGCUCCGACCAAUUAUCAUAUUUUGAAAAUCAAAUACCCAUAUAUACAAGGACCAUCCAAUUAUGGAGCAUUUAAUAAACAAUGCUAACCUUUCAGUUGAGCAUUUCUGGCUGCCUUAACCUAUUCUACUAGCCAAGACUACUCCGAAUAUAGCAUAACCUCAUGAUCAAUUGAUCACCAAGUUUCUCAACCCAUUUUAUCACAUGCAUUAAAAACAUUAAUUUAGGCUAGUGUGUUAACCUUUAGCACUUAAGAUAUGCAGCCAGAUAAUACUACAAAUAUAGCUCUGCUUUUAAAUCCAUAGUGCCAUACAUAUUGAGGACAUAAUUACAACACCUAACAUAAUGUAAGUUGAAAACCUAGGCAUGCAUGCAAAGUUAUAGAUCUGACUCAACCCCAUCUCUAUUGAACAUCAUCAAAUUUAU